GACGAACGCUGGCGGCGUGCUUAACACAUGCAAGUCGAACGGUAAGGCCCUUCGGGGUACACGAGUGGCGAACGGGUGAGUAACACGUGGGUGAUCUGCCCUGCACUUCGGGGUAAGCCUGGGAAACUGGGUCUAAUACCGGAUAGGACCCUGGGAUGCAUGUCCUGGGGUGGCAAGCUUUUGUGGUGUGGGAUGGGCCCGCGGCCUAUCAGCUUGUUGGUGGGGUGAGGGCCUACCAAGGCGACGACGGGUAGCCGGCCUGAGAGGGUGACCGGCCACACUGGGACUGAGAUACGGCCCAGACUCCUACGGGAGGCAGCAGUGGGGAAUAUUGCACAAUGGGCGCAAGCCUGAUGCAGCGACGCCGCGUGAGGGAUGACGGCCUUCGGGUUGUAAACCUCUUUCAGCACCGACGAAGCGCAAGUGACGGUAGGUGCAGAAGAAGGACCGGCCAACUACGUGCCAGCAGCCGCAGUAA
rnacentral:rRNA from 1 species